ensembl:lncRNA
GAAUCGAAUGGACCAUGAUCAGUAAAAAUUUACAUGAAGAAUGGAAUGCAUCACAUUAUUCAUGCGAGCCUUUGCAAGCAGAUGUCCAAGACUGCUGUAUGAGUUCGUAUUUUUGGGCCAAACAGAGACAAAUUGCAGCUUGGCAAGGCAUCGUGCAUCUGUGAUUUUGGAACAGGUGUUAACAGACCUGAAGAUGCAUUUUUAUUCGACAUCAAUGGGAAAAACACAACCUGUGCAGGUUUUCUGCUGCAGACUAAUGUAAAUUAAUGACCAUGUGGUGUGAAAAACAUCCUCACUCCAUUUUUCACAAUGCAUAUGCUACAAAACAAAGACUUAAAGGCAUUGAUUUUAAAAGUUCCUGCAUCUGUAUCCUAAAAUGUCAAACAGUUUUCAAGACAAGGCAGUAAGUAUUGUGUGAAUGACAGGCAACCUGGUCUUGUCACCAUAAAAUGCAAAAAGAAUAAAUAAUAAUAAUAAUAAUAAUAAUAAUAAUAAUAAUAAUAAUAAUAAUUAAUCAAAUGAAGUAUAUUACAAAUUAUAUUAAAUGUAAAAAUUAAAAUAUAAAUAUUAAAUAUCAAAUUAAAAUAUUUUCUGUGCAGUGUUUUUUUCUAAGUAUUAUUGAGAUACUAUAACAGUUUUUAAUAUUUUGAAUGUUUUUAUAUUUCCCAUUCAUUUUGAUUCUAACGUUUAAAAUAAACGAAAAUGAAAAAAGUAGGUCACGAAUAAUAUAAAACAUGAAAUUCAAACAUAAGUGAAAAUUAAAUAUUUCUGUAAAUAAUUAAUUAUUUGUUGUGCAGUCAUUUUAGUAGAUUUUAUAAAAAUUUAACCAAUUUAAAUUUUUGUAUUUUCUGUUUUUAUUUUAAUUUAUGUCAGUUUUAAAAUAAAAUAAAGUAUUGCUAAUUUUAUUAAACUAAAUUUAAACAAAAAAAUAAAAUAAUAAAUGUAAAAAUUACAAUAAACUAUAUGUGCAGUGUUG